CACUGAUCAGCCACAACAUUAAAACCACCUGCCUACUAUUGUGUAGCUGUCAGCUCUGAUGAGUCAAGGUCCAUGACUCCAGACCUUUGAAUGUGUCCUGUGGUAUCUGGUAGAAUACCCUUUAAGUCCUACAAAUUGCAAGGUGGGACUUCCAUGGGUCAUCAGCGAAGAUGAAGGGGUGUACGUGGUCUGCAACAAUCUCUAGGUAGGUGGUACGUGUUAAAUUAACAUCAACAUGAAUGCCAGAAACCAAUGUUUCCCAGGAGAACAUUGUC